AGCGAACGUUAGCGGCAGGCCUAACACAUGCAAGUCGCGCGAGAAUGGGGCUUCGGCUCCUAGUAAAGCGGCGGACGGGUGAGUAACACGUGGAUAAUCUGCCCUUCGGCGGGGGACAACAGUCCGAAAGGAUUGCUAAUACCGCGUAAGUCGGCGAGGUCUUCGGAUCUUGUCGGGAAAGAUGGCCUCUUCAUGAAAGCUAUCACCGAAGGAUGAGUCCGCGUCCCAUCAGCUAGUUGGCGGUGUAAGAGACCACCAAGGCUAAGACGGGUAGCUGGUCUGAGAGGAUGAUCAGCCACACUGGAACUGAGACACGGUCCAGACUCCUACGGGAGGCAGCAGUGGGGAAUAUUGGGCAAUGGGCGCAAGCCUGACCCAGCCAUGCGCGUGAGUGAUGAAGGCCUCGGUCGUAA
rnacentral:rRNA from 1 species